UUGGCACAAUGUUUUUAAUUAAGCUAGUGUCACUUAUCAUAUGAUGAGAUGCACCUGAAUCAAUCACUACUGGCUUAAUGUCAUGAGAACUAGCAAUAUGCGCAAGGAUACUAGAUGGUUUGAAUGCAUGAUCAUUUCUAGCAAGGUUUGCAGUCCUAGAUUGAUUUACCAUUUCUAUCAAGCUCUCAUGCAUCCUAUCAGUUCUA
rnacentral:lncRNA from 1 species